UACGGAGGGGGCUAGCGUUGUUCGGAAUUACUGGGCGUAAAGCGCACGUAGGCGGCUUUGUAAGUUAGAGGUGAAAGCCCGGAGCUCAACUCCGGAAUUGCCUUUAAGACUGCAUCGCUAGAAUUGUGGAGAGGUGAGUGGAAUUCCGAGUGUAGAGGUGAAAUUCGUAGAUAUUCGGAAGAACACCAGUGGCGAAGGCGACUCACUGGACACAUAUUGACACUGAGGUGCGAAAGCGUGGGGAGCAAACAGG
rnacentral:rRNA from 1 species